rnacentral:rRNA from 1 species
CCUACGGGUGGCUGCAGUGAGGAAUAUUGGUCAAUGGGCGCGAGCCUGAACCAGCCAAGUCGCGUGAAGGAUGACUGCCCUACGGGUUGUAAACUUCUUUUAUAAAGGAAUAAAGUGAGGCACGUGCGCCUUUUUGUAUGUACUUUAUGAAUAAGCAUCGGCUAACUCCGUGCCAGCAGCCGCGGUAAUACGGAGGAUCCGAGCGUUAUCCGGAUUUAUUGGGUUUAAAGGGUGCGUAGAUGGGUUGUUAAGUCAGGUGUGAAAGUUUGUGGCUCAACCGUAAAAUUGCCGUUGAUACUGGUAGCCUUGAGUACAGUUGAGGUAGGCGGAAUGCGUGGUGUAGCGGUGAAAUGCUUAGAUAUCACGAAGAACUCCGAUUGCGAAGGCAGCUUACUAAACUGCCACUGACACUGAGGCACGAAAGUGUGGGUAUCAAACAGGAUUAGAUACCCCAGUAGUC